GUGAAUCAUCGAAUUUUUGAACGCAAAUUGCACUUUUUGGUAUUCGGGAAAGUAUGGCUGUUUGAGGGUUAGUUAAAUAAAUAUCGGUGUUGUUGAUGCUUUUCGUGGUGUGGCGACGGUGUUGAGUUGUCUUACAUUAGGAUAAGUGAUUUAAAAUUUUGCAUGAUUUUCGAACGUUUUCAAAUUUUUUAUGUACGUUUGAGAUAUUGAAUACUUUAUU
rnacentral:misc_RNA from 1 species